UACGGGGGGGGCAAGCGUUGUUCGGAAUUACUGGGCGUAAAGGGCUCGUAGGCGGCCAACUAAGUCAGACGUGAAAUCCCUCGGCUUAACCGGGGAACUGCGUCUGAUACUGGAUGGCUUGAGUUUGGGAGAGGGAUGCGGAAUUCCAGGUGUAGCGGUGAAAUGCGUAGAUAUCGGGAGGAACACCAGUGGCGAAGGCGGCUUCCUGGCCUGUUCUUGACGCUGAGGCGCGAAAGCUAGGGGAGCAAACGGG
rnacentral:rRNA from 1 species